GAAAAAGGACGAUAGUACAA
rnacentral:snRNA from 1 species